rnacentral:lncRNA from 1 species
AUUUUUUGAUAAUUGUUCUUUUGCUGUAAAAAGUCAAGAGCAUUCACUUAGGGUGAGUAAGAAAUAAGUUGGGGAGAACGAAAAAGAGAAUCGGUAAGUGCCACAACUCUUGAAAAACCGAGCAAGCAUUGAAAAUAAAAAAAAAUAGAAAAGAGAAACAUCUGUUUUGUAAAUAUGAUGUGAAAGAAAAGAAAAAAUAGAGAAAAUGAAAAUGAAUGCUUGCUUGGAAGAAAAAUAGUGAAAAACAAAAAUUG